rnacentral:lncRNA from 1 species
GGGACCAGCCGGCGAGGAGGGGACUUCGGGCCGCGAAACGCGCUCCCAGAGCCGCUGCGCGCGGCGUGACGCGGGUGCCCCCGUCAGAGUUGGCGAGGGCGGGAAAAGUUAGGGACUGCCUGCAGGUGUGGACGCUGCCGGUUCCUAAUAAGCAAAGAGCGAUGAUUAUCCCGGAGGUCGUUUGAAAAGGAUCUCUCAGGUGAACGAAGGACUGAGAGAAGGACACCUGGUUCAUGGGCUACUGGUCACACUGUGAGGUGGGGAUACUUAUCCCGGCGUCCCAUUAGGAAGGAUUCUGAAGUCAAAAGCUUUGUAGGCUCUCACACUUACUAUGGUGCUGGACUCCAAGGUGACCGGGUUUUGAAGAAACAAGUCUACGGGGAUGAGUUUCUUCCUGAAGGAUCUGUGUUUGUUCAAAACACAAUCAGAAAGGUAAUGAUGUUUUUCUUAUGAAAGGAGCCAGAAAUGCAAAAUGUUAAUUCUUUUUUUUCCCCCCCCCCCCCUUACAUAAGUAGUAAAGGAUACAAGAGAUGAAAUGUAGACUAUUAUAAUUUGGUCAUUCUAGCUAGCUACAUUUUUUCCUAGUAAAGAAGUUUUUUAUUGCUAGGUUUUCUUUUAUGGGAAAAAGCUAUCUUCUGUAGAAGAAAGCUACUGGACUGAUUUUCCACAGAGUCGAAGUUAACAACCUGUGGCCUAACCAUGAUCAUUUCUAUGUAACAGCACCUUCCCAGGGAUUCUUGGCUCUGAAAACUCAUCAACGCCCAACCAGUAAUUGAUAUGGCGUGAUUCCCUCUCCCAUUUAUUAUGUAGAAUAUUCAUUUUUAUUUUUUUAAGAGGCUUCAUUGAGAAGAAUAUAAGCCAGUAG